rnacentral:rRNA from 1 species
AGUGAACGCUGGCGGUAGGCCUAACACAUGCAAGUCGAACGGCAGCACAGUAAGAGCUUGCUCUUACGGGUGGCGAGUGGCGGACGAGUGAGGAAUACAUCGGAAUCUACUUUUUCGUGGGGGAUAACGUAGGGAAACUUACGCUAAUACCGCAUACGACCUACGGGUGAAAGCAGGGGAUCUUCGGACCUUGCGCGAUUGAAUGAGCCGAUGUCGGAUUAGCUAGUUGGCGGGGUAAAGGCCCACCAAGGCGACGAUCCGUAGCUGGUCUGAGAGGAUGAUCAGCCACACUGGAACUGAGACACGGUCCAGACUCCUACGGGAGGCAGCAGUGGGGAAUAUUGGACAAAGGGCGCAAGCCUGAUCCAGCCAUACCGCGUGGGUGAAGAAGGCCUUCGGGUUGUAAAGCCCUUUUGUUGGGAAAGAAAAGCAGCAGGUUAAUACCCCGCUGUUCUGACGGUACUCAAAGAAUAAGCACCGGCUAACUUCGUG